UAAUGGUCAGGUUAUACUGCCGAUCUACCUAACAUGUCAGGUAGUGGACAGGUUAUACUGCCGAUCUCCUACCUAACAUGUCAGGUAGUGGACAGGUUAUACUGCCGAUCUCCUACCUAACAUGUCGGGUAGUGGACAGGUUAUACUGCCGAUCUCCUACCUAACAUGUCAGGUAGUGGUCAGGUUAUACUGUCAAUCUACCUAACAUGUAGGUAGUGGACAGGUUAUACUGCCGAUCUACCUAACAUGUCAGGUAGUGGACAGGUUAUACUGCCGAUCUCCUACCUAACAUGUAGGUAGUGGACAGGUUAUACUGCCGAUCUACCUAACAUGUCAGGUAGUGGACAGGUUAUACUACCGAUCUCCUACCUAACAUGUCAGGUAGUGGACAGGUUAUACUGCCGAUCUACCUAACAUGUCGGGUAGUGGACAGGUUAUACUGCCGAUCUACCUAACAUGUCGGGUAGUGGACAGGUUAUACUGCCG